GGUCCGGUUAGCUCAGUCAGUUGAGCAUAGCGCUAACAAUGCUAAGAUCGUGGGUUCGAUUCCCGUUCGGUCCC
rfam:Apaloderma vittatum contig24240, whole genome shotgun sequence.